UGAACACUUCUUAGAUCCACCUCUGGAGGGUGCGCCUGUGCUGGUGCUUCAGCAUCUUUCUGGCUGUACAGUCGGAGGUGUUUUAGUCAUUGGCGUUGUAGAGCAGUCUACCUGCCUCCCCAGCCCUCCUCCUGCACUGGCAACUCUCAGUUAUACUGUUGGGAAUCAACCAGUGCAGCUUGGCUGGGGGGGUGGACAAC